UGUAGGCUUCGCCUGUGUUCAUGAAAUCGGCCCAGGACAACGGUAAAGACUACGAGAACGUUUUUUAAUUCCCGUUAGUGUGCAGGCGACAGCACGCACGUUGCGCCCGGUGUGUUAUUACAGGUGCAGCCCGGCCGGCCUACCGGUGGAUAAUUAGCCGAGCAGCAGGCACUCACGGCCGGUCAAAUCCCGAGCGCCUCCUGGCUCCGCAUCCUUUUCCAAGCCAAAACCUUCUCAUCACCCUUCCCUGUCGGCUUCUCCUCCCGCUGAGUUGUCAGGCAGCCCAGUUAGAGAAUACAGAUCCUGACUGAGCCUGACUUAGAUUUUCAACCUGCAGAGAGAGCAGCUUUUCCCUCUGCUGCCCAGCAUCUUUACUCUCUGUCUGAUCUAAAGGAUUCAGCUCCCAUAGGAAUAAAACAGAGCUCUAUGAGAAUGUAUCCUGCACCCUGCCCAGAAUGUGACAACUAAAUGAGCUGUUGGUCCAGAGUCCAGUCUCACCAGGCAUCAGUACAUACAUGUGUGUAUCCAGUG